rnacentral:rRNA from 1 species
AUUCGCCCUUUGCCAGCAVCCGCGGUAAUACGUAGGUGGCAAGCGUUAUCCGGAAUUAUUGGGCGUAAAGCGCGCGUAGGCGGUUUUUUAAGUCUGAUGUGAAAGCCCACGGCUCAACCGUGGAGGGUCAUUGGAAACUGGAAAACUUGAGUGCAGAAGAGGAAAGUGGAAUUCCAUGUGUAGCGGUGAAAUGCGCAGAGAUAUGGAGGAACACCAUGUGGCGAAGGCGACUUUCUGGUCUGUAACUGACGCUGAUGUGCRAAAGCGUGGGGAUCAAACAGGAUUAGAUACCCUGGUAGUCC